AUUGAACGCUGGCGGCAGGCCUAACACAUGCAAGUCGAGCGAGCGGCGGACGGGUGAGUAAUGUCUGGGAAACUGCCCGAUGGAGGGGGAUAACUACUGGAAACGGUAGCUAAUACCGUAUACCAUCAGAUGUGCCCUGAUGGGAUUAGCUAGUAGGUGGGGUAACGGCUCACCUAGGCGACGAACCCUAGCUGGUCUGAGAGGAUGACCAGCCACACUGGAACUGAGACACGGUCCAGACUCCGACGAGAGGCAGCAGUGGGGAAUAUUACGCAAUGGGCGCAAGCCUGAUGCAGCCAUGCCGCGUGUGUGAAGAAGGCCUUCGGGUUGUAAAGCACUUUCAGCGGGGAGGCGUUACCCGCAGAAGAAGCACCGGCUAACUCCGUGCCAGCAGCCGCGGUAAUUC
rnacentral:rRNA from 1 species